UGCUUUUGUUCAAAUGUGUAAACAUUUCAGACGUAGUGAGACGUAUAUAUAUUCGUAUAAAAUAUUGAGAAAAUCUUUGAGAUUCUAGCCCAUUGUAUGGCGUUUACGAAGAAAAUAACUUGCGAGACUAAAGAAAAUCUCUUGACUCAUCAGAGCUCUUUAUUUAAACGAGAAAGACGAGGAGAUAGCCAACAUGUUAUCGCCAAUCGCUUGACUUGCCAGCAGGGCC